CCCGCUUCUGGCGAGCACAGGUCACCCUCUACUCCCUCACAUCCUCGCCUGCUCCUUACAGGCCCCGCCCCUUACCCUGCUCCCACUGCCACGCCCCCUGCUUCACCUACACGAACCUCUUUCUGCACGAGUAACACCACCAAGUCCUGCCCACUUUACACCAUCUUCUGCCUGGAGACACGUCCAACCCUCGGCCCGGAGACAUCGUUCGCCAGCCCUCCCCACUCAGGGCAAGUCUUGUCCCCAACCUUACCUCUAGCCUCUGUGACCGCCUUCCAGUUCAAGGAAGCUCUCGGCCCGCCCCCAGCCCCGCCCACACUGACUCCUCCUCCUCAUUCCCGCCUCUCAGACGUUCCCUACCAGCUCCGGGUGGCCUGUGUUCCGCCCACUCCCUGUGAGGCCCCGCCCUCCGCCCGCGCACGUCCACCUCCGCACCCUGGUCGCAGGCUCCUUCCUCCACCUGCCGCCCCUUCCAGUACGCUGACUCUUCCCUGCACCGCAGAUCUCCCCCUACAGCCCCCCGACGCAGCUUGGCCCAGCCCAGUCUCGGGUCACUGUGGGCACAGUCCCCUCUGGGCCGCGGUUCCCCCUUGUCCGCUUGCCUUCUGCGUGUGGCCCGUAGCCCAGGUGCUCAUAGACGACCGCAGGUGGGCGGUCGGAGGUGUCCUCGCCGCGGUGCACCAGCGCCUCGCGCAUGGCCGCCAGCCCGUUGAGCACGACCACGGGCGUCCAGGCCAGCUGCAGGCUGAACACGUCCCCGAAGCGGCGCCGCAGCUGCAGGCCAGGGGUUAAGGCGUUCGACAAGCCCCACCCUCGCCAGGCUCCUGGCCACAGUCUCCUGGUCCUAGCCUUCUGGGACCCCUGGGCCGCCAGACGGGGAAAUUGGGGAGUGGGGGAAUGGAAGGACUUUAUCCGGCUUGGUGACGCUGGGGGUCACAACUUGUAUGGUUGAGGACCUCACGUUGGAUAAGACCACCCAGGUAUGACUUUGCAAAGGUCACCAACAUUGUCAGUAGGCCAAGUUAGCAUCCCAUUUUAUAAGUGACGAAACAGGUUCAGGGAGGUGAGCAGGGAGGCCCAAGAUCUCACAGCAGCAACAGAUUUGAACCUGGUCACUGUCCCCUGUCAACCUCGAUUUCCUGAUUUCAGUGGGGCUCAUGCCCAGCCUCCUCUCUCCAAUCUCAGGACCUUUCCUCCUGAUGUCCUCAGAAGGGACUCAGGCUCACAGAACUUAUGCUCGGUCCCACUGCAUCCCAAACCCUCUGCCAAGGCCCACCCCCUCCAGGCCUUUGCCCUCUCUGACCUUUGAUGGGAAAAUUCAAACUGUCCCCCAGGAGGCCUCUCAUGCCUGCCUCCUCCGUUCCACCAGCUCCUUGUGCAGCCUGUGGCUUCACCACCACCGUCUGCUGCUAUGUGGGGUCCCCAGGACCUCUGCUGCUCCCUCCCCCACGUUCCUCACCCGAGUAAAGCUGCAAACCGUGUCCUGGAAGUCCACAUGCAGCAGGUUGCCCAGCCCAGGCAGGGGCAUGGGGCCUGGGGGGUAGCGUGGGGCCCAGCGUUGGCGCCGGUGCAUCAGGUCCACCAGGAGCAGGAAGAUGGCCACGGCCACGGCCAGCGGCCCCAGUGUCUCCCCGGUCAGCAGUCCCAUGGCUGCCUCAGUGUACACUGCGCUCCUCUGGACACACUGGGGCCCCUCACCACACCAGGCACCAGGACCAGACCUGGCAGGGCUCUCUCACCCACUCUGAGGGUUUGAUGAGCCUGGGCCCCUUUAUAAAGGAGCUGAGACUGGCCUUUGUCCUCUGCUCUGAGCCUGCCUGUUGGCAUGACUGUGCUGCCAGAGGGUGCAGGGAGGGGACGGCGAAGGUCAGUGCAGGGGUGGCACAG
ensembl:lncRNA